UGCCAGGGAAAGGCUGUGUCCUGGAUGCUCCAUGAAAACUCAGGAGGAAAAACAGGUUCCAGAGACCUCCAAAGAAGGUGAGGAAGCUGCAUCCAUUGGCAGGACUGGACAACUGGGAAAAAGCAAAAGACCUGGUAAACCUUGAGAAGGGGACACACCAGGUGGAGUCUGGAAUAGAGGACUUUUUUUGCCACACUGGACAAAACCUGGAGACUGUGGUUUUUCUUCUAAACUGGAACCCUGAGAAAUUAUCAUCUGAGGCUGCACCCCAGCAUAUGCACAUUUGGCCUUCAUCACCAUAAAAAUGGGGGCAAAAAGUGAAAGGGGGUUAUUGUUGGGGAGAAAGGAUGCCCUGAACGAACUCCAGACAGAUUUAUGUGGACUCCACGCGCCCACUCCAGGCUAAAGAGAUCGAAACCACCGCGAACUACAAAUCCCGUAAUGUCAUCCUCAUGGAAGAGGAGGAUUGGUGGGAAUUGAGGGUGGAGUUCAGCAGUCGGGCCUGGUAUAAAACCUGACAGGUGGACCUGGGGCUUCUCUUGGCAUUUCUCCAGCUCUCCGUGUGCCAGUGGGAUUCCAACUCCGUGGAGCUAUUAGAACACGUUCACCAAUUUAUCUCCCUCUCCUUGAGUUCUUCAUUCCCCCUUCUUUUGUAAAUAAA